AGGGACUGCUGUUGACUUUUGUGUGCCUGGAGCUGACAAUACGGACCAGCUGUUGUACAGAGGAGUGUAUGUCUCCUUUCAUACCAUCCCAGAUACAGGACUACAGAGAAAGAAGCCAAAAAUGGUUUGAAAUGGAAUUAUUUAAAAUUCUUUACAGAGACAAACUUCCACAUCUUGUUCAAGCCCCCAGUUAUGGUGUGACAGACAUUUACGUGUGCUUGAAGCCCUGGUGACUAAGAAGGUGCUGCCAUUUCAAUUUUGUACACUCUGACAAUGAAUGAGAAAAUUUUUUCAUUUCUCACAUUCUACUGCACAGGCAUCCUCAUAAGAAUCAGGACUUGUGAACUGCAGCCAUUUCACUCUGCAAACCUUGGACAAAGUUUGUAGGUGAAGAACAAAUUUAUAGCAAGUUUACUAGUCUCCAUGUUCUUCAAGCAAGAAAAAAAUAUACUUUUUAAUUGUGUGCUUUUGUUUGAUAUAAAUUGUCUUUUGGCUGAGCUUGCUCACAAUAAAAGAGCACUCACUGGAUAAGCUCAACUCCUGCUGGCUUGUUACAGCUAUUCCCCCCAGAAUCUGGAAUAUUUGAUGUUGUUAUCAGAACUGUUGUGUUUGGAAAUUUCAGUCUGGAAGCUGAAAUCUACAUUGAGGGAUAGAAAAUCGGAGGAUACUACAUGUCAGUUAAACGUGUUAGCAUGCCCCUGGAAGGGGUACAGGUUGAACGCAUGGAACAGGGGCAAAUAGAAUGUGCAAUUAAAAAAGGUUCGCUGGUAUCGCUCGUCUGACCAUGCAUCCUAAGUCUAAUGAGCGCACUAAAGAGUGAAAAAAAAGUGCCAUUUGAAUGGACUCAUUCUUGUUUUUAUGCUAUAUUAUAUUUCUUCCUUCUUUUCCUUCAUUAGUGUCUACAUUAGCAGAAAAAAGAGAAUACACCAAUGGGGUAAAGAAUUGAUAACUUCACAACAUACCUGCAAUGACAGUAUUGUUUAGACUUUGAGCACUUGGUAAAUGUUAUAAAUUGAGUUUAAGAAAAAGUGAAUGACAGUAGGCCUUAAUUAAUGCUUGAGAAGAUUAAUUGUUUCAAGGGGAGUGUAUCAAUUUUAAUACAUUUAACUUUUAAAAAUCAGACUGAUUUUGCCACAGGGCACUACAGGUUUGAAAUAUGCAAAGCAUUUCUACAUAAUUUUUAGCACUGUGGCGAUUAUAGUCAUCAUACUGUUACAGUGAUGCUUUCUUUUAACUGUCUUGUUUACACAUGCACAGUGUAUUGUUGAUUAAUUUAAGCUUAUAGAAAAUGUUGCAUGCCUGAGGAUAUUUUCAAUUUGCCAAUACACUGCUGAUUCUAAUUAUUUAGAGAAAUUUUAGUUUUCACAAUGGCCUGCUGGUGCUGUGAGAAGCAAGGCCAUCAGUGUACCAGACAGCACUAGGACCUUGUGCUGUGGCUCAAAUACAGCUAAAAUAAGUUGUGUUAUUUCCAUUUCAUUGCUGUGUAGUGAUCUCUGUGAAGCCCAUUGGUAGGCUCAUAACAAAACCAAUUGUGAUGCUACCUCUUCUGUUAAUUUUGAGGAUUACUUACUGAGUAAUCAGAGGACAUGCCCCUUCAUCCUUGUUUAAAUCCAGUCCCGCUCUCUGUUAU